rnacentral:rRNA from 1 species
AGGACGAACGCUGGCGGCGUGCUUAACACAUGCAAGUCAAGGGGGCCCAGCAAUGGGCAACCGGCGAACGGGUGCGUAACACGUGAGCAACCUACCGAACUGUGGGGGAUAGCCGGCCUAACGGCCGAGUAAUACCGCAUACGCUCUCAGCGAGGCAUUUCAUUGAGAGGAAACCUACGGGACAGAUCGAGGGGCUCGCGGCCUAUCAGCUAGUUGGCGAGGUAACGGCUCACCGAAGGCAACGACGGGUAGCUGGUCUGAGAGGAUGGCCAGCCACAGUUGGGACUGAGAUACGGCCCAGACCUCCGUACGGGGAGGCAGGCGACGGUGGGGUAAUCGUUGGCGCAAGUUCGGGACCUUAACGGC